rnacentral:lncRNA from 1 species
CAAGAAUCAAUAAAAUAAUUGGUUGAUUACAAUGCUUAAAAAUUAAUGCAUAAUGAAUAUUUUUAUUACAAUAUCUGAAUUAAAUUAAUUACCCUACUCCUACCUAAUAAUCUUUCACAUUUCUACAGACUGGCAGUGCCAGCAGCGAAAACUCAAUCAGAAAAACAAAAUGUCAAUCUGUCUACAAACCAGUCUGUGGUUCUAAUGGAAAAACCUAUGGUAACCACUGCAUACUUAAAGAAGCAAAGUGGUUGAGUAA